UGGGGAAUAUUGCACAAUGGGCGGAAGCCUGAUGCAGCGACGCCGCGUGGGGGAUGAAGGCCUUCGGGUUGUAAACUCCUUUCGACAGGGACGAAGCGUAAGUGACGGUACCUGUAUAAGAAGCACCGGCUAACUACGUGCCAGCAGCCGCGGUAAUACGUAGGGUGCGAGCGUUGUCCGGAAUUACUGGGCGUAAAGCGCACGCAGGCGGUCUGUCAAGUCGGAUGUGAAAUCCCCGGGCUCAACCUGGGAACUGCAUUCGAAACUGGCAGGCUAGAGCCUUGUAGAGGGGGGUAGAAUUCCAGGUGUAGCGGUGAAAUGCGUAGAGAUCUGGAGGAAUACCGGUGGCGAAGGCGGCCCCCUGGACAAAGACUGACGCUCAGGUGCGAAAGCGUGGGGAGCAAACAGGAUUAGAUACCCUGGUAGUCCACGCCGUAAACGAUGUCGAUUUGGAGGUUGUGCCCUUGAGGCGUGGCUUCCGGAGCUAACGCGUUAAAUCGACCGCCUGGGGAGUACGGCCGCAAGGUUA
rnacentral:rRNA from 1 species